AAAGAAACCCCAACGAUUUGUGCUAAGACCAAGAGGAUGCAUCUGUUUCCUGAAUCAGCCAGAUCAAAUGAGCACUGCAUGAAACGCGGCCUGUACUGAGACUUCAUUUUCUUCCAAAGACAGAUGAAGCAGUUGCACUCAAAAGGAGAAAGAAAAAGAAAAAAAAAUUAAGCCUAGGCAAAAUCAGAACUAUGAUGCCAAUGGAUUUCUUGAAAUGGUACCUUCUCCAAACUAAAAUUCAUUCCUAACAGGUUUACAGAGCACUCACUAUCCAGCUGGGGCCAAAUCAAAGGAUAAGAGACUGAGCCUGCCUUGGAAGAGCUAAAGGUCAGUGGAGGAGACAGAGAAGAAAACAAAAAAAAAGGACAAUAAAAGGAGCUUUUUCCCACAUGUAGACUUCUGAAACUGGAAGGAAACCAAAGGGAUCAUGAAACCCAACAGCCCUGUUUUACAGAUGAGGAAACUGAGGCCCAGAGAAGUGAAGUGACCUGCCCAAGGUCAAGUGGCGGGUUAACAGCGGGAAGUAGAACCCACAUCCCUGCUGACUGUAAUCCAUGCUGGACUGUCCCUGGGUAUGUCCAAAUGAAGUAAAAUUUUCUGAUUCGUGGUGGAGUCAGCAAUCAAUAACAAGACCUGCUUCUAUUUUCUGUAGGGGAAUAUAAGAGUUUGCUUCCUUUGUCUUAGACGUGGUUGCCAGAAGCUAAAAGGAUUUUUAAAUAAGUUUAAAGAAUGGAUUCAGGCUCAACUAA